rnacentral:rRNA from 1 species
CCUACGGGUGGCAGCAGUGAGGAAUAUUGGUCAAUGGCCGGAAGGCUGAACCAGCCAAGUCGCGUGAGGGAAUAAGGCCCUAUGGGUCGUAAACCUCUUUUGUCAGGGAGCAAAGGCGUCCAAGUGUGGACGAGAGGCGAGUACCUGAAGCAAAAGCAUCGGAUAACUCCGUGCCAGCAGCCGCGGUAAUACGCAGGAUGCGAGGGUUAUCCGUAUUUAUUGGGUUUAAAGGGUGCGUAGGCGGAGGUUAAAGUCAGCGGUAAAAUUUCGGGGCUCAAACCGGUCGUGCCGUUGAAACUGACGCCCUUGAGUGAGUGAGAAGUAAGCGGAAUGCGUGGUGUAGCGGUGAAAGGCAUAGAUAGCACGCAGAACGACGAUUGCGAAGGCAGCUUACCGGCGCUCAACUGACGCUGAGGCACGAAAGUGCGGGUAUCGAACAGGAUUAGAUACCCCUGUAGUC